UGUGGACCGACCGACCGACCGACUGACCGACCGACAGACAGAGCUAUAGAGCCGCGGUCGCAGCUAAAAAUGUACAGUUAGUCCUGAUCAGACGCAAAGCGAAUGCCUGCAUUAAUUCAGCCAUUUUUCUCUGUUAACUUAAAAUAUGCUUUACUUGAAAAAGGGGAAGUGAGUCAGAUCUGCAUCAGCACAUUCUGCUUUAUAUUUAGUGUGAAGCACUUUCUUCGCGGUCACAUUCAGCCACACUGCUCUGUCUGUAAGGCUGUUUAAUACUAAUGGCUCAUUAGCAAACCACUGAGGCCACAUCAGAACUCUCUCCUGUCGGAUCCAGCCAAGCUCUCCAAAACCUUGUUGGUAACCCUCACCCUCCUGUCUGUGUCAGGUGUUCUGAGCCAGAGGGGAUGGAGAGUGACUUACACCCCUGAG